rnacentral:rRNA from 1 species
AUGACUGAAAUCGAGACUUACACCGAACUGGACCAAGAGGAGACCAACAAGUUCCAUCUCAAGUAUGCGCUUUAUCGCAUCAAAGCUUGCCUGCUGUUGAAAGGAAUGCCGGCUGACGAGAUCGAUGAUGCUGCGUUGGAACGCAAGUACCCUCCAGAGCUUAUCGUCAAGAACGACUACUUCUUUCACUACGUCCAAGAUGGCUUCUUUGGUUGGUAUUUUGAUUCCGAACUCUGUUACAAAAAGUCCUUGAGCGACUACCAGCGGCUAGUCAUUUUCAAUGAUGGUGGCUAUGAGUAUACAAGUUGGAGUAGAUACCGAGCAUUUUAUAGCACCCCUGACGCUGAUAGAGAUUAUCUCCAAUUCUGGGAAACAAUUGUGAAGGAAAUUAAAUGGCUUGAACAGUAUAUGCUGACAAACGAGUCGUCUAUUGAGUGGGCGCGUGUACAUUCAAAGGCUACAUUCCAAGCAUGUAGGAUCGCAUCUGGGUUUCAAAACAUGACUCUGGAACUAGCAGCUGUUGGUUUGCAUGAGUAUAUAUGGGAUGCACGCAUAAAUCUCAUGUUUAUGAAAGAUCGUGAUGGUAUCUUCUAUGAGAUUUGGAGGCGGGUCAAUGAUAAUCAUCUGCUGAGUUUCAGAGAUGCUCUCGAGCAAGUUUAUGGUGAAAACUUGUAUUCAGCACACGACCGCAGUAUGAAGUAUGAGCUGAAUUACGGCGAUUCCAACAUGGAGCGUGUUUUUGCUCGGUGCACAAAAGGCAUUAGUGACAGUGUUCCAGAAUAUAAAGCCCGUGAGCUGAUUGCACAGGAGAUCCAUUGGACGAGUUUGUCGUCUGGAACAUAUGCGCGGUACGCCAGGAAGAAGCUGAAGGUUGCAGAACUGAUCGGAUUAAUUCCGAAGGACAAGAUAGGAGCUGUGUAG